rnacentral:lncRNA from 1 species
UACCUAUUUAUUGCUUAAUUUUUUCCCAUAAAUUCUAACCUUGUGGUUAAAAAAAAAAAAAAAAAAUCCAGUAAUUCUCAAAUGUAAACAAGUAGAAAAAUAAUACUCCAGAAAGCAAGAGCUUGUAAGUAUCCAAACCCUAAAUAUGUUAACACAGCUGCAUGUCAUGUGACCCACCACAGUUCUGACACAAAAAUAUGUGAAAUGUUUGAAAAUGUCCAUAAUAUUGCAAUUUUCUGAUGAUCUCCUAAGUGAACGAGCAAUGCAACUGUUAAAAAUCCAAACAGAAUGAAUGAAGAGUUGUGCUCAAAUUAUAUAAACAACCCUUUUCCUUAGAUAACAUUAGAAGCUCCUACCAAUACCCUCCCACAGUGCAAGCUAGAGCUCUUGUAAUGCUCACUGAAUGUAUUACUCUGGCUCUGAGUGAUCCAGCUGCAUUUUAAGACAUUUUUAUGUUCUGUUUUUUUUUUUUUUUUUUUUUUUUUUUUUUUUUUUUUUUAGGAGGUCAGUGUGCCAUAGUUCAGUGAGAAGCACAGUGUCUUCAGAUGGUGCUGAACAAGCUUUUCCCCAUGAUGUGCUGUUAAAAGAGGUGAGAUAUCCAGAAAAAAAUGGAAAAAAGAAGUAGCUGACCAAUAAGCUACCUAGAAAGCAUCCAGCCUGGAUCUCAGCUAUGAAGUAAGUACCUCUACCACAUCUCAUUACCAAAAUAGCAACCUUCUUAAUCCUUUGCUGUGAAGAACAAAGGUUUGAUUCAGUCUCUGGAGCAGAAAUAGGAUCUU